rnacentral:tRNA from 1 species
UGGGGUGUAGCUCAGCGGUAGAGAGCUUGCCUAGCACGUGUGAGGCCCUGGGUUGGAACCUCAGCACCACAU